rnacentral:rRNA from 1 species
UACGUAGGGUGCGAGCGUUGUCCGGAAUUAUUGGGCGUAAAGGGCUCGUAGGCGGUCUGUCACGUCGGGAGUGAAAACACGGGGCUUAACCCCGUGCCUGCUUCCGAUACGGGCAGACUAGAGGUAUGCAGGGGAGAACGGAAUUCCUGGUGUAGCGGUGAAAUGCGCAGAUAUCAGGAGGAACACCGGUGGCGAAGGCGGUUCUCUGGACCGUAACUGACGCUGAGACACGAAAGCGUGGGUAGCAAACAGG